AUUGAACGCUGGCGGCAUGCCUUACACAUGCAAGUCGAACGGCAGCGCGGGGCAACCUGGUGGCGAGUGGCGAACGGGUGAGUAAUGCAUCGGAACGUACCUUUCAGUGGGGGAUAACGUAGCGAAAGUUACGCUAAUACCGCAUAUUCUGUGCGCAGGAAAGCAGGGGACCUUCGGGCCUUGCGCUGAUUGAGCGGCCGAUAUCAGAUUAGCUAGUUGGUGAGGUAAAGGCUCACCAAGGCGACGAUCUGUAGCGGGUCUGAGAGGAUGAUCCGCCACACUGGAACUGAGACACGGUCCAGACUCCUACGGGAGGCAGCAGUGGGGAAUUUUGGCCAAUGGUGGCAACCCUGAUCCAGCCAUGCCGCGUGAGUGAAGAAGGCCUUCGGGUUGUAAAGCUCUUUCGGCCGGGAAGAAAUCGUAUGGGCUAAUACCCUGUGCGGAUGACGGUACCGGCAUAAGAAGCACCGGCUAACUUCGUGCCAGCAGCCGCGGUAAAAC
rnacentral:rRNA from 1 species